rnacentral:rRNA from 1 species
UACGUAGGGUGCGAGCGUUAAUCGGAAUUACUGGGCGUAAAGCGUGCGCAGGCGGUUUUGUAAGACAGGCGUGAAAUCCCCGGGCUCAACCUGGGAAUUGCGCUUGUGACUGCAAAGCUGGAGUACGGCAGAGGGGGAUGGAAUUCCGCGUGUAGCAGUGAAAUGCGUAGAUAUGCGGAGGAACACCGAUGGCGAAGGCAAUCCCCUGGGCCUGCACUGACGCUCAUGCACGAAAGCGUGGGGAGCAAACAGG